rnacentral:rRNA from 1 species
CAGUCGCCGCGGUAAUACAGAGGGUGCGAGCGUUAAUCGGAUUUACUGGGCGUAAAGCGCACGCAGGCGGUCUGUCAAGUCAGAUGUGAAAUCCCCGGGCUUAACCUGGGAACUGCAUUUGAAACUGGCAGGCUAGAGUCUUGUAGAGGGGGGUAGAAUUCCAGGUGUAGCGGUGAAAUGCGUAGAGAUCUGGAGGAAUACCGGUGGCGAAGGCGGCCCCCUGGACAAAGACUGACGCUCAGGUGCGAAAGCGUGGGGAGCAAACAGGAUUAGAGACCCGAGUAGUCCCUGUCUCUUAUAC